AGGGGGGAUGUAUAUGCGCGGCCGGUGUUGGAGCACGUUGUGGCGGGUGAAAGGGUCGACGAGGCGGUCGGCGGGCGGCGCGUGGACGAACGAAAGAACCAGCCAACGACCCCAAGGCCGCGGCGGGCCGAGCUAGGUCCUCGCGUGGCGGCCGCCGUCGGGACAGAAAUGAAGGGCCGGGUCGCCGGCGCGGCCUCCGCUCCCCCUAGCCGAUGGAGGCGUCGUUAGGUCGAGGGAGGCGCCGCAGGCUAAGGUCCGAAAGUAAAACAAGACGCAUACCACGCGGCGUUGAGGUAGUCGUACUAGAGACACCUGUUACUCAUCGACAGGAGCGAGCGUUCACAGGUGGGGGACACCAACGUAAGGAUAUGACCUAGUACCGCUUUGAGCGUCGACAGUCAGCGUCGCACAAAUCUAAAUGCUUGCUUUGGUACUCCUAACAAUACCAUUGCCAAUAGCCUCACCAGGAACCGAAGAAGUAACCUUAAAGUAAGGGCAGCCACUCGUAUUGUUUCGAUGUGAAGGGUAGGUCGAAACAAAGCAUGUAUCUCCUCUCCUUGAGACCCGAGUGCUGGGUUCGAAACGAAUUGGUACGGACCUUAAGUCAGUCUUUACGUUCCCUCUUGUGAAGGCUUGGUUUAUGUUUGUGAUGAAAUUUCUAAAUACAGGGCUGUUUGGGGUCCCCACGUCUCUCCGAUCGUGGUCCGUAACAACACGGUCUAUGACUGAAGGUAGACGCGUCCAACACCCCUCUGGGUUCACUCCUGGACGGUAAGUUUGGUUUCAUGGAACACUGAAAGUGACAACCUAUACGUGUCUUUCUUUUAUAUUUGUCUCGUCACUUCUUCAAAAGACUGUUAAAGCGAUAGGACAAUAAGGUGAUACUACCAGCACACUGGCUUACCCUGCUUAAACUCACCAGUUUCGCUCGGUAGGUAUAGUCACAGUCGUUUGUUUGAUUUACCACCAUACGGUUUUCUAAGAACGUGGGACUAUAACACCGUCGAAUACUCAUGUAUAAGUAGACCCUACUUCUGGAACCCCACCUAGUAAAGUUGCGUCUCCUCAUGUAGUUUGAACAAUUCUUUUUGCCAGACCUAUAGAGGGUCGGGCCGAACCUUGGACUGGCCCCUGAUUGAACCGUCUACUGGUUUUCUUCUCCACUGGCUCUCCACGUGUUCCUCUGUCUCCUUUCCGGUCCGACCACACGACUGGGAGUAGAAGGUGGAACACGUCGCAAACAACUUUAUUACCGAGGUCAGAAGAGUUCCCUCCGUACCGCCACACAUACCGUAUACUAAGUCUUACUAAACCAGGUACCUACCCCAGAGCUGAAGCGGGAGUCCUUUACACAUCUCGGACGAGUACUCUUCUAGCCUCAGCAGCUAAGGGUCACCUAGCAAGUGGUCCACCAAGGAAGAGAGCCCUUGGUCCCGUUCCGCCUCCCGCCCUUCGGCCGCACCCUUCCCCACUCCCGCGCCACGGCCUUCCUCACCCCGUACAAGGUCUACUCCUACCGCCUACGGCUCUUCCGGAUGAUGUUCUACUACCCGUAGUGGGGAGGUUUGAGGUGUGAACAGAUCGAAUCGACUACCGAGCAGAGCCAGGAGGAGCAGAGGUACAAAAGAGAGUCACCUACUGUACUGUUCGGGACUGAGGAGAUGAGCCUACUACCUCUACUGCUACUGCUACUGCUGCUGCUGCUACUUACAUAUCCAAAAUCUACGUACAUCUCAAUGUACUACCACAAUACAUAGUUGGUUGUAAUGUCACGCGAACAGCUGAGUACCAGGAAAGACUGACAGUUAGAGUACUCUCUUAACCGAGCUCUUAAAGCUCUUUGGAACAGAAAA
rnacentral:rRNA from 1 species